CCCUUAGAUGUUCUGGGCCGCACGCGCGCUACACUGACGAAUGCAACGAGCUUAUAACCUUGGCCGAAAGGUCUGGGUAAUCUCCAAAUUUCGUCGUGAUGGGGAUAGAUUAUUGCAAUUAUUAAUCUUCAACGAGGAAUGCCUAGUAAGCGCAAGUCAUCAGCUUGCGUUGAUUACGUCCCUGUCCUUUGUACACACCGCCCGUCGCUCCUACCGAUUGAAUGGUCCGGUGAAGCGCUCGGACCGCGGCCUCUUGACGGUUCGCUGUCGAUUGGCUGUGGGAAGUUCGUUAAACCUUAUCAUUUAGAGGAAGGAGAAGUCGUAACA
rnacentral:rRNA from 1 species